rnacentral:rRNA from 1 species
GGAUCCAGACUUUGAUUAUGGCUCAGGAUGAACGCUAGCUACAGGCUUAACACAUGCAAGUCGAGGGGCAGCGGGAUUGAAGCUUGCUUCAAUUGCCGGCGACCGGCGCACGGGUGAGUAACGCGUAUCCAAUCUUCCGUACACUCAGGGAUAGCCUUUCGAAAGAAAGAUUAAUACCUGAUAGUAUCUUAAGCACACAUGUAAUUAAGAUUAAAGAUUUAUCGGUGUACGAUGGGGAUGCGUUCCAUUAGGUAGUAGGCGGGGUAACGGCCCACCUAGCCAACGAUGGAUAGGGGUUCUGAGAGGAAGGUCCCCCACAUUGGAACUGAGACACGGUCCAAACUCCUACGGGAGGCAGCAGUGAGGAAUAUUGGUCAAUGGACGAGAGUCUGAACCAGCCAAGUAGCGUGAAGGAUGAAGGUCCUACGGAUUGUAAACUUCUUUUAUAAGGGAAUAAACCCUCCCACGUGUGGGAGCUUGUAUGUACCUUAUGAAUAAGCAUCGGCUAACUCCGUGCCAGCAGCCGCGGUAAUACGGAGGAUGCGAGCGUUAUCCGGAUUUAUUGGGUUUAAAGGGAGCGCAGACGGGUCGUUAAGUCAGCUGUGAAAGUUUGGGGCUCAACCUUAAAAUUGCAGUUGAUACUGGCGUCCUUGAGUGCGGUUGAGGUGUGCGGAAUUCGUGGUGUAGCGGUGAAAUGCUUAGAUAUCACGAAGAACUCCGAUUGCGAAGGCAGCACACUAAUCCGUAACUGACGUUCAUGCUCGAAAGUGUGGGUAUCAAACAGGAUUAGAUACCCUGGUAGUCCACACGGUAAACGAUGGAUACUCGCUGUUGGCGAUAUACUGUCAGCGGCUUAGCGAAAGCGUUAAGUAUCCCACCUGGGGAGUACGCCGGCAACGGUGCAACUCAAAGG